UCAGGGGCGGCUGAGGGGGAGCCGCAGCGGCAGUGGUCGGGGCUCUGCAGCGCUGCGGCCGCGCUGGUGCCUCCUCGGCUCCGGGUUUGCUCCGCGGCCGCAGAGGAAGGAGCUGUGACGAGGGACGACCUGGCUCUGCCCCGGCACAGUCGCUUCGGAAGGUGUCGCUUGCGAAAGCUGUCAGCGCUUCCCGUAGCGUGCACCGGCGAGAGGAGAAAGGCUGCGGUGCGAUGGGGCCCCCGGCGGAACAGCCUCAGGCUGGCUCCUGUGGGAGGCUGAACACUCGGGGCCUGUCGAUGUGUUCCAGAGGGUUCCCAAACCCAGACGUGGCAGAUCACUGCUGGACGUGUAGCUCUGACAUUUUGCUUUGCCACUCUUGUGGAUUGAUUGUGCACAUGCAGCAAGGCUGCAAGUUGAAGAAGUGUGGAGGAAGCUGAUAAUGCUCUUUCAGUUCCUGAGGACUUCAAGCAGCUAUAAAAGUUAUAGGACAUUGGCAAACACCAACAAUCAGCUCACAGACAGCUGGCUGAAAAGUUGAAGACAAACAUCUAGAGAACUGAAAUAGUUCAGGAACACCAGAAAAUACAACUCUUGAGAAGGAGCA